CAGUCGCCGCGGUAAUACGAAGGGGGCUAGCGUUGCUCGGAAUUACUGGGCGUAAAGGGAGCGUAGGCGGAUCGUUAAGUUGGGGGUGAAAGCCCGGGGCUCAACCUCGGAACUGCCUUCAAUACUGGCGAUCUUGAGUAUGAGAGAGGUGUGUGGAACUCCGAGUGUAGAGGUGAAAUUCGUAGAUAUUCGGAAGAACACCAGUGGCGAAGGCGACACACUGGCUCAUUACUGACGCUGAGGCUCGAAAGCGUGGGGAGCAAACAGGAUUAGAGACCCCGGUAGUCCCUGUCUCUUAUAU
rnacentral:rRNA from 1 species